rnacentral:rRNA from 1 species
CAGGAUGAACGCUGGCGGCGUGCUUAACACAUGCAAGUCGAACGAGUUAAGACUCGGUUUAACCGAGUGGCGGACGGGUGAGUAACGCGUGGGUAACCUGCCGUAUGCAGGGGGACAACAGUUAGAAAUGACUGCUAAUACCGCAUAAGCUACAGUAUCGCAUGAUACAAUGAGAAAAGAUUUAUCGGCAUACGAUGGACCCCGCGUCUGAUUAGCUAGUUGGUGAGGUAACGGCCCACCAAGGCGACGAUCAGUAGCCGACCUGAGAGGGUGACCGGCCACAUUGGGACUGAGACACGGCCCAAACUCCUACGGGAGGCAGCAGUGGGGAAUAUUGCACAAUGGGCGCAAGCCUGAUGCAGCGACGCCGCGUGAGUGAUGAAGUAUUUCGGUACGUAAAGCUCUAUCAGCAGGGAAGAUAAUGACGGUACCUGACUAAGAAGCCCCGGCUAACUACGUGCCAGCAGCGGC